AAGUCAGGCUCUGGGCUGCAAUCCUGGGGGACACAGGUUUGAUCCCUGAUCCGGGCAGAUCCCACAUGCAGAACAACUAAGCCCGUGUACCACAACUAUGGAACCUGCACUCUAGUGCCUACAAGCCGCAGCUACUGAUCCCACGCACCUCAAGCACUGAAGCCUGCACCCCAGAUCCCUGUUCCACAACAAGAGAGGCCACAGCACCGCAGCUAGAGAGCAGCUCCUGCUCGCUGAAACUAGAUAAAGUCAGGGCAGCAGUAAAGACCCAGCUCAGCCAAAAAUAACGUGAAGGGUCCGAAAUCCAAGUGAAGAGACUGGGAACUCUCAUGCCCAGCUGGAAUGGGAUGGAAACUUGCUCAGCUCUUCUCUAAAAUAAACAAUAAGCAGGCAGUUUUCAGUAAAAAUAAGGAUGUAUUGGCAGAAAGUUCAGGAAUCUUAUUCCCUGAAAUAUGUUUUAAAGAAAGCUUGGUCAGGUAUAUAAGAAGACAAGGUGGAGAUUAUUUAUGAUAGUCUUGUUCAUGGCAUAGGUGAGCAGGAAGCAAAAAUGAGUUAGUAAACUAUGAUGGAGGCUGACCUUGGAAUUCUACACAUCACUGAGAAACUAUUUGUUAGGUGUACAUACAACAGCAUGGAUGUAGUGUUAAGUGGGGGAAAUCAGUAAAAGAGAUUUAAGGCAUAAUAUUUUCCCAGUCUUAUUGAGAUAUGACUGAUGUACAGUAAACCACAUGUAUUUAAAGAGUACGAUUUGAGUUUUGACAUGUGUAGAUACC
ensembl:lncRNA